rnacentral:rRNA from 1 species
AACGUAGGUGGCAAGCGUUAUCCGGAAUUACUGGGCGUAAAGGGUGUGCAGGCGGGGUGGCAAGUGGUGUAUGAAAUCUCCCAGCUUAACUGGGAUAGGUUAUGCCAGACUGCUACUCUAGAGGACGAGAGAGGGGCGUGGAAUUCCGGGUGUAGUGGUGAAAUGCGCAGAUAUCAGGAGGAACACCGAUGGCGAAGGCAGCUCGCUGGGACGGUACUGACGCUGAGACGCGAAAGCGUGGGGAGCGAACAGG